AAGACAAGAGUUAUAGCUAGUUGGUAGCUUCUGGAGUAGAUAGUCAGGUAAACGAACGUGCCAGCCUCGUUUGCCUUAUUAUCAACUCCUAGAGGCUUCAUAGUCGCUCUGGUAAU
rnacentral:pre_miRNA from 1 species